rnacentral:rRNA from 1 species
AAGUUAAAAUAAUUUAAAAAGACGAGAAGACCCUAUAGAGUUUUAUAUAUAGUUUAAUUAAGAUUAUUUAAUAAUAUUAAAUUAAAAUUAAUUUUAUAUAUUGUAUUGGGGUGAUAGAAAAAUAUAUUUAACUUUUUUUAUAUGUAUAUUAAUGUGGACAUAUAUAAGUGAUUAAAUGAUCCAAUAUUAUUGAUUAUAAGAAAAAAUUACCUUAGGGAUAACAGCGUAAUUUUUUUUUUUAGUUCACAUAAGAAAAAGAGUUUGCGACCUCGAUGUUGGAUUAAGAUAAAAUUUAAAUGUAGAAG